rnacentral:rRNA from 1 species
UCUUACGACCACACCGGCCUGAGUACGCCUGAUCUCGUCUGAUCUCGGAAGCUAAGCAGGGUCGGGCCUGGUUAGUACUUGGAUGGGGAGACUGCCUGGGAAUACCAGGUGCUGUAAGCU